ensembl:Mt_tRNA
UUGGGGUUUAGUCUAAUUAAGACAAUUGAUUUCGGCUCAAUUAAUCCUGAACUUUCAGGAACACCU